GAUGAACGCUGGCGGCGUGCCUAAUACAUGCAAGUCGAGCGAACGGACGAGAAGCUUGCUUCUCUGAUGUUAGCGGCGGACGGGUGAGUAACACGUGGAUAACCUACCUAUAAGACUGGGAUAACUUCGGGAAACCGGAGCUAAUACCGGAUGAUAUUUUGAACCGCAUGGUUCAAAAGUGAAAGACGGUCUUGCUGUCACUUAUAGAUGGAUCCGCGCUGCAUUAGCUAGUUGGUAAGGUAACGGCUUACCAAGGCAACGAUGCAUAGCCGACCUGAGAGGGUGAUCGGCCACACUGGAACUGAGGCACGGUCCAGACUCCUACGGGAGGCAGCAGUAGGGAAUCUUCCGCGAUGGGCGAAAGCCUGACGGAGCAACGCCGCGUGAGUGAUGAAGGUCUUCGGAUCGUAAAACUCUGUUAUUAGGGAAGAACAUAUGUGUAAGUAACUGUGCACAUCUUGACGGUACCUAAUCAGAAAGCCACGGCUAACUACGUG
rnacentral:rRNA from 1 species